rnacentral:rRNA from 1 species
CCUACGGGAGACAGCAGUGAGGAAUAUUGGUCAAUGGACGAGAGUCUGAACCAGCCAAGUAGCGUGAAGGAUGACUGCCCUAUGGGUUGUAAACUUCUUUUAUAUGGGAAUAAAAUGUUCCACGUGUGGGAUUUUGUAUGUACCAUAUGAAUAAGGAUCGGCUAACUCCGUGCCAGCAGCCGCAGUAAUACGGAGGAUCCGAGCGUUAUCCGGAUUUAUUGGGUUUAAAGGGAGCGUAGGUGGAUUGUUAAGGCAGUUGUGAAAGUUUGCGGCUCAACCGUAAAAUUGCAGUUGAAACUGGCAGUCGUGAGUACAGUAGAGGUGGGCGGAAUUCGUGGUGUAGCGGUGAAAUGCUUAGAUAUCACGAAGAACUCCGAUUGCGAAGGCAGCUCACUGGACUGCAACUGACACUGAGGCUCGAAAGUGUGGGUAUCAAACAGGAUUAGAUACCCUUGUAGUC